CUCUCAUCCCAUGUGGGCAUCACGGCACAGCGCUCCUGUUUGUUUUUGUUUGUGCACCAUUAUUUCCUUUUGUUAUAAAUGUAGAAUUCUUUUUAGCACACCUUUGUCUCCACUCCCAUUUUUUGUUGCGUCCUCUGAGCCGGAACGUAACACCACUAACGCUAAUUUUUGAACUGACAGCGUCCACAUCCUCAAUUUCAGAGCCCAUCUCACCGAUCACCAGCAGACCUCUCAGAUCCUCUCAAUGGUGCUUAUUGGCCGUGUCCUGUAUGAGGAAGAACAGGGCUUUUUCCGUAGCAGCUCCUCAGCUCUGAAAUAGCCUGCAGGAGGUCAUUACACAGUUUCAGAUCCCUUCCUUUGCUUUCCCCUCCAAUCCAAUGCCUUCAAGGACAGGAAGCUCCUUUGAUGAAUGAUAAUCUUGCUCCUCCAUUUGUCAAAUUGUUACCAUUAAAAGUGUCUUUUAAUACAAAUUAUUUUGCACACAACAACCUGUGUAGAUAUAAAACCUCAUUCUAA